rnacentral:misc_RNA from 1 species
AACGCUCAAACAAGAUGGAUUUGUUUCUAUCUCUGUUUGGAUCUGGGCUUUGCUGUGUCAAUGCGGCUGGUCUUAAAUAUAUUAGCUGGUCCUAGUGAAGGGUCUGGUUCUACUCAGCAUGAUAAUUAUCUGAUGUUGAGGACAGUCUCAGGACUGGCCAGGCUUUCUGUGGAUUGCUUCUAAUUGUCUUUGGACAGAUUACUUAGU